GUAGGUGAACCUGCGGAAGGAUCAUUACAGAGUUCAUGCCCCUCGGGGUAGACCUCCCACCCUUUGUAUACCUUGCCUCUUGUUGCUUUGGCGCGCCGCCUCGCGGCCGUCGGCCCCGGCCGGCGCGCGCGCGCCAAAGACCCCAAACCCUGUAUUACAGUGUCGUCCGAGUACUAUAUAAUAGUUAAAACUUUCAACAACGGAUCUCUUGGUUCUGGCAUCGAUGAAGAACGCAGCAUCUGACUGACUU
rnacentral:misc_RNA from 1 species